rnacentral:misc_RNA from 1 species
GAUGAAGAACGCAGCAAAAUGCGAUAAGUAAUGUGAAUUGCAGAAUUCAGUGAAUCAUCGAAUCUUUGAACGCACAUUGCGCCCGCCAGUAUUCUGGCGGGCAUGCCUGUUCGAGCGUCAUUUCAACCCUCAAGCACAGCUUGGUGUUGGGACUCGCGUUAAUUCGCGUUCCUCAAAUUGAUUGGCGGUCACGUCGAGCUUCCAUAGCGUAGUAGUAAAACCCUCGUUACUGGUAAUCGUCGCGGCAACGCCGUUAAACCCCAACUUCUGAAUGUUGACCUCGGAUCAGGUAGGAAUACCCGCUGAACUUAAGCAUAUCAAUAAGCGGAGGA